rnacentral:rRNA from 1 species
GACGAACGCUGGCGGCGUGCUUAACACAUGCAAGUCGAACGAUGAUGCCCAGCUUGCUGGGUGGAUUAGUGGCGAACGGGUGAGUAACACGUGAGUAACCUGCCCCUGACUCUGGGAUAAGCGUUGGAAACGACGUCUAAUACUGGAUAUGACUGCCGGCCGCAUGGUCUGGUGGUGGAAAGAUUUAUUGGUUGUGGGAUGGACUCGCGGCCUAUCAGCUUGUUGGUGAGGUAAUGGCUCACCAAGGCGACGACGGGUAGCCGGCCUGAGAGGGGGACCGGCCACGCUGGGACUGAGACACGGCCCAGACUCCUGCGGGAGGCAGCAGUGGGGAAGAUUGCACAAUGGGCGAAAGCCUGAUGCAGCAACGCCGCGUGAGGGAUGACGGCCUUCGGGUUGUAAACCUCUUUUAGUAGGGAAGAAGCGUAAGUGACGGUACCUGCAGAAAAAGCACCGGCUAACUACGUGCCAGCAGCCGCAGUAAAAC